UCCCUGGUGGUCCAGUGGUUAGGAUUUGGUGCUUUCACUGCCCUGGCCCAGGUUCAAUCCCUGGUUGGGGAA
rfam:Ovis aries breed Texel chromosome 3, whole genome shotgun sequence.